UGGUAUCAAAGUCAAACACUGGGCGAUGUGCCAGCGAGGAGGCUGAGCUCCAAAGGGGGUGGACACGAGGCGAUGUGCCAGCAAGGACGUUGGGCCCUGAAGGGGGGUGGAU